rnacentral:rRNA from 1 species
CGUGUACAAGUCUCCUGGAAGGGAGCAUCGUAGAGGGUGACAAUCCCGUCUCUGACACGGAUCCCCGGUGCUAUGUGAUGCGCUCUCGACGAGUCGAGUUGUUUGGGAAUGCAGCUCAAAUCGGGUGGUAAACUCCAUCUAAAGCUAAAUACAGGCGAGAGACCGAUAGCGAACAAGUACCGUGAGGGAAAGAUGAAAAGAACUUUGGAAAGAGAGUUAAACAGUACGUGAAAUUGCUGGAAGGGAAACGCUUGACGUCAGUCGCGUCGUCCGGGGAUCAACCUCGCUUUUCGCUGGGCGUAUUUCCCGGUCGACGGGUCAGCAUCGAUUUCGACCGUCGUAGAAGGACGCGAGUGAAUGUGGCACUCCACGGGGUGUGUUAUAGCCUCGCGUAUGGAUGCGAUGGUCGGGAUCGAGGAACUCGGCACGACCCCUCGAGGGUUCGGGGCUUCGGUCCACGCGCGUGCCCAGGAUGCUGGCGUAAUGGCUUUAAGCGACCCGUCUUGAAACACGGACCAAGGAGUCUAACGUGCCUGCGAGUGUUCGGGUGCAAAACCCGAGCGCGCAACGAAAGUGAAAGUCGAGACCUCCGUCGUGGAGGGCACCGACGCCCGGACCGGAGCCUUUGGCGAUGGAUCUGCGGUAGAGCAUGUAUGUUGGGACCCGAAAGAUGGUGAACUAUGCCUGAA